rnacentral:rRNA from 1 species
UCAGCCGCCGCGGUAAUACCAGCUCUCCGAGUGGUGUGGACAUUUAUUGGGCCUAAAGCAUCCGUAGCUGGCUGAACAAGUCCCCUGUUAAACCCACCGAUUUAAUCGUUGGCGUGCGGGGGAUACUGCUUGGCUAGGGGACGAGAGAGGCAGACGGUAUUCCCGGGGUAGGGGUGAAAUCCUAUAAUCCCGAGAAGACCACCAGUGGCGAAGGCUGUCUGCUAGAACGCGCCCGACGGUGAGGGAUGAAAGCUGGGGGAGCGAACCGGAUUAGAUACCCGGGUAGUCCCAGCUGUAAGCGAUGCAGACUAGGUGUUUGGACGGCCACGUGCCGUUCUAGUGCCGCAGGGAAGCUGUUAAGUCUGCCGCCUGGGGAGUACGAUCGCAAGGUUGAAACUUAAAGGAAUUGGCGGGGGAGA